UCCAUAUUAAUGUGUGAAUGUCAGUAUAGAUCUCCAUAUCAAUUUGUAUGGAGAUCUAGUACUGACAUUCACACAUUGAUAUGGAGAU
rnacentral:pre_miRNA from 1 species